rnacentral:rRNA from 1 species
CAGUCGCCGCGGUAAUACGUAGGUGGCAAGCGUUGUCCGGAAUUAUUGGGCGUAAAGGGCUCGCAGGCGGUUUCUUAAGUCUGAUGUGAAAGCCCCCGGCUCAACCGGGGAGGGUCAUUGGAAACUGGGAAACUUGAGUGCAGAAGAGGAGAGUGGAAUUCCACGUGUAGCGGUGAAAUGCGUAGAGAUGUGGAGGAACACCAGUGGCGAAGGCGACUCUCUGGUCUGUAACCGACGCUGAGGAGCGAAAGCGUAGGGAGCGAACAGGAUUAGAUACCCCCGUAGUCCCUGUCUCUUAUAC